rnacentral:rRNA from 1 species
GGAUAACUCAUUUCCUCGCAUGGGGAAAUGUUGAAAGGUGGCUUUUAGCUAUCACUUACAGAUGGACCCGCGGCGCAUUAGCUAGUUGGUGAGGUAACGGCUCACCAAGGCGACGAUGCGUAGCCGACCUGAGAGGGUGAUCGGCCACACUGGGACUGAGACACGGCCCAGACUCCUACGGGAGGCAGCAGUAGGGAAUCUUCCGCAAUGGACGAAAGUCUGACGGAGCAACGCCGCGUGAGUGAUGAAGGUUUUCGGAUCGUAAAACUCUGUUGUUAGGGAAGAACAAGUACCGUUCGAAUAGGGCGGUACCUUGACGGUACCUAACNCAGAAAGCCACGGCUAACUACGUGCCAGCAGCCCCGUAAUACGUAAGUGGCAAAGCGUUGUCCGAGAAUUAUUGGGCCGUAAAAGCGCGCCGCAGGUGGUUCCCUUAANUCUGAUGGUGAAAANGCCCACGGGCUCAACCGUGGGAGGGGUCAUUGGAAAAUGGGGGGGACUUUGGNGUGNCGNAAAAAAGGGAAAGGUGGGAAUUUCCCAAGGNGGUAGGCNGGNGGAAAAUUGGNGGGNGAAAUNUUC